rnacentral:misc_RNA from 1 species
GGUCUGAGCAUGCACUGCAUCAGGCCUAUCUACUGCUACCUCCGGCUGUCUGCCCUGCUGGCUUCAUCGGACAAAACAAGUCGCAGGAAGCUGUACCACGUGCACUGCACUGGGACCACCUGACCAGCACGGUAACGUCGACGGAGACAUCGUGGCACCCGGAUAAAAGCAGCAGCCUUUUCGACGUUCCCUUCAGUGGACUUGGAAGCACCUAACGAGCACGGAUGCUGAUCAAAUUUUUUCUGAUCGCACAGGCGAUCUUUGGAAACUUCAGUGAUACCUGACGACUGGCGAAGGGCCAAAGUAAUACCUGUGCACAAAUCUGGCUCUAAACUCGACAGUUCAUCACUUGUGCAUGUGCAACACAUUGGCGGAGGCAAUACGAACUGCAUUUCUCACUAGCUGGACAAGUCGGAAUGGCAAUGCACCUUGGAGAACAAGACUCGAAUUGUGAAAGUCUGGUGGUUUCACAGAACUUUGUUUUAUGUCAAGAUGGGCUGACACCAUGUCACCUGAUGCUGUCACUCUCUGGUAAGCAUGUUAAAAAAAUAAAAACAAUCCAGUUUGAACA